rnacentral:lncRNA from 1 species
AAGUUCUUAUCAGAGGGCAAGGCUCCAUUUUGUUGGCUUCUCUGAAAUAUUAUAUAAAUUUAAACAUUGAAUACUCACUCUGCUCUGCCAUUAUCAAAGAGCUAGAUCAUCUCAUGGUUUAGUAGGGAUUUUCAAAUUCGGAUGCUGUGGAAUCCUGGGAUAAUAUAAUUCAGUGUUGUUUUUUUUUUAAAGGAGGAGGGAGUUCUCAUUGACAGUAUCAAGGAUUGCAAUGUCGUAUACAGUAGAAAUGGCUGGCAUGAACUGUAGACACGAAUGAAUGUUGAUCUGAAGGUAAGCCUCUACAAGUCAAAGACGGA